rnacentral:rRNA from 1 species
UACGGAGGGUGCGAGCGUUGUCCGGAAUCACUGGGCGUAAAGGGCGCGUAGGCGGCGCGGGGAGUCAACGGUGAAAGCUCGGCGCUCAACCCCGAAUCGGCCGUCGAUACUCCCGGGCUUGAGCACUGUAGAGGCUAAUGGAAUUCCGGGUGUAGCGGUGGAAUGCGUAGAGAUCCGGAAGAACACCGGUGGCGAAGGCGGUUAGCUGGGCAGUUGCUGACACUGAGGCGCGACAGCGUGGGGAGCAAACAGG